GAUGUGCAAAUAGUAAGGCAUGCACUGCAGAAAUGGCCUUUUUUUCUGAUAUGAGAAACAACUAUUGGUGUACAAACCUUAGAAAGGGCUGAUAUGGCUGGCCAUCCUUAGCAGAACCUCAGGAACUAGUCGCCUUCUCGGAGGUGCCGUGGGAUCCUUGGCUAGAGCUUCCUCAUCACCAGCAUGUAUCACAGAGACCAGAUGGCUGAACAUUUCAUCCUUACCACCUCUUAGUGGAUCCUGAAUGAUGUGACCCAAUCAUUAGGAUGAGUUGGAUUCUCAGUGUCAUAAACGAGUUUCGACAGCCAACUACAUGAGAUUAUUAGUUGUCAAUAUGCCUAAUUUCAUCUCUAAUUUCAUUGUCCUCAUAAUUUUCAGAUUGAAAUUGUAUGGAUAUCUGAGACAUUAAGGAGGCUGAUUAUUUCUAAAUUAAAUAACCCUUUUUUUUGUCAUACAAGUAAGGCAUUGAAUGGAAUAAUGAUAUCAAACUCGAUAUCUAUUGAACUAUAAUCCACUUAUAUAUCUUUGUAAUAUGAAGCACAUCAUUGAUGCCCAAAACAAGAAAUUCUAACCUGGAAGAAGAUGGUAUUGAAUAAUCUGCUGUUCCAUGAAAGAGAAUAAUAGGAGGCAGAAGAGAAACAGCAUUUCCAAUGCUUGGGUCUUCUAUUCUAAGUUCAGGAGAAAAUGAUUGCAAGGAUUCUUCACCUUCCAUCAUGCUGUAACCACAAGUCAGAAAAAAACCUUAGGCAAUAAUUACAUACUAGCAUAAUUCAUCAGUAAAUAUUGAUCAGCAUCCAGUGAGCUUAUAAACAAACGGUACCUUAGAAAAAGAGCACGGUACAGGCCACGGUUGUUGAAAUGAUCGACUAAUUUGCAUAAAUUGUACCUGUUCAGUGUUUCCAGGUAAUCCAUGUAUGAAUUAUAGACCAUAAUGCCAUAAACAAGCAGAUAAGAAAGAGAUGCUGAAACAAACAAAUUACAGAUGUCGAAACCCAAAAUCCUCUAUAUAUCAUCGAAUAUACCAAUGACUCAUGAGUAAUUUGUAGUGUACUGAACCAGACUGUUUUCUCUUAGACAUCGCUCUUUAUUUUCCAAGUUAUUUUGAUCAAUAGUUUAUAAAACAAGAUGACCUAAAUUCGAAAAGAAAAUGAUAACAUAGCAGAGAACAAAGUACUGCAAAGGAAAUUCCGUUGAUUGAUGUCCUUAUGCUGGAUUGAGUGCCAUUUAUGAACAGAGCACACACAGAUGCUUAAUAACUAGUGGAACUGGCAGAGGUAAUGACUCUACUCAUUAUCAUGAGAUUGUUGAAAUAUAAACGCAGCUAAAGUAGUUAUUUUGAUCAAUAGUUUAUUUUCCAAUGACUCAUGAGUAAUUUGUAGUGUACUGAACCAGACAGUGUUUAUUCUAAGACAACGCACUUUAUUUUCCAAGUUAUUUUGAUCAAUAGUUUAUUUUCCAAGAAUUAUUGAUGGUUAAAGGGGCUUGAAUCUCACUUCUCUCGUGUACACAGAUUGGUGGAUACUUAAACAGCUCACAAAGCCCAUCCAAAAUGAAUUAUUUUGGGCACCAAAGUCCCAUUUCAAUAGCUGCGAGAAUGAACGGCGAUUAUAUAUAUAUAUAUUAUGAGUGUUUUCAAAAGUAGUUUGACAUAACAUCACAAUAUAAUUCAUCAAUAAAACUGAUCAAUCUCACAACUAGUGCUGCUUGUUAAAGUGAUAGGGACAUUAUGUGGAGAAAAACAGGAAGAGGUAGAAAAUAUAUACGGUGACACGUCAACUCAUUAAUUCAAGCGCAGAAGGGCGUCGAAGGUGAAAAGCAUUUCGAAGAAGUAUCCGGUGGCAUGUAUAUCACGUGAUUACAAAGUGAUCACCGAGUACGGGAGGAGCUAUGGAAACUACAAAACACACGAGCCCACUUGUCCUUCUUAAACACUUAUAGGCAAAACUCUCCUCCACACUGUGGGCCACAAAAUAGUGCUGCUUGUUAUCAACUACUGUGACAGGAUGGCAGGAACUUCCAUAAUAGGGCUGCUUGUUAUAUUUUAAAAAUAAAAAAAAAAUAAUUAUUAUUUUAUUAUUAUUUUGAAACAUGAAUUUUUUAAAAUGUAUUUUAAAAAUUUUUACGAUUUUUUUAUGAUUUUACGAUCCGUUUUUACAAUCUAAAUUUAUAAAAAACUUUUUAUUUUAUGUUAAAAUCACGAUUUUAAUAACCUUGACUAGCAGCCCUGAAGGCUCACAACGUUUUUCUCUUGGCUUUCCAUGGACAUGCAAUCUCGCCUUUACUUCCACAAUCUUUCAUUGAUUAUACUAUAAUCCUAAUCCGUGCUAUUAAAACUUUUGUAUUUUAGGAUAAUAGCAUUUUAUUUUAUUUUCACUACAUUUAACACCUUCAAAUUUAUAAAGUGUUAUCUUCUAAGAUAUAGAAAUAUUAAAAAUUUAAGUGUAUUAUCUACUUUAUUGAAAAAGUUAAUCAUAAUAAUAAAAUCAUUCAUGUAUAACUUUAAAAGUUAGCUAAAAAAAUCUUAGAAUUGGUGAGGUGUUUGCCCGAUUGAUAAUCUUGAAAAUGACAUAUCUUUAAGUGAAACAAAAUCUCAAAAAGAGAAAUCUUCAAGUAUAGUAAAUAGUUUGGAGUUGAUUCAUCGUAUGGUUUUCAUAGAAAAAGAUUUUUUGGAAGUGUAUUAUAUUUUUUUUAUGUUUGGUAGUGUUAUGAAAAAUAAGUUGAAAAACAUUUUUUAGUGUUUACUUAUACUAUGAAAAAUAAGCUGGAAAAUAAUUAUUAAUGUUGAAAUUUAUUUUUUCAAAUUUAUUAAAAGAAUGAGGACCAAUUUUGAUAUAUGAAAAAUUGAAGGAUAGCAAAAUUGAAAAAAAAAUAUUAUUUCAUAAUUAUUUCAAAUAAAACAAAUAGUAAUAAAAAAAAACGAAGACUAAAUUCACAUAUUAAAAAUUUUAAUUAAAAAAAGAGUCAGAGAAAAAAAUAACAAUUAAAAAAAUAAGGAUCAAAGUUGAUAUAAAAAUCAAAUCAAAUCAAAUUUUAAUAAAUAAAAUUGAAAAAAAAAUUCAAAAGAAAAUAUAUAACAAUCAAAAAAAUAAAUAUUAAAUUUAAUAUAAUCAUCAAAUAAUAUUAUAUUUUUUAUUUUUUACAAUUUCUGAAAAGCAUAUUAUUCCAUUCAAUUUUUUAAAAGCAAAACAUUUUAAAAAAAAUUAAACCAAAUCAUUUUAUUUUCACUAGAAAGAAUUUUUUAUUAAUCAUCUUUUUAAUUAUUAAAUAAACAUGAAAAAGUUCAGAAGAUAGCCUGAUUAAAAAACUAUUUUACAUACAAAUUGGUGGCCAAAGAAAGUCAACAAUAUCAUGCCACCGAAUUUGUGAUGAAGAUUGUCAGCAAUAACAUGCCACAAAAGUUUAAUCCAAAAAAACAAGCCACAAAAGUCUUGAAAUUAAAACCUCAUGAUCAUACAUCAUAGUUUAUUUUUCUUACAUAAAAUAUUCUCAUAUCAGAUUACCAUGUUAAUAAAGAUAGUACUAGCUGUCGGUCGACACUUUACUGCCUUCUAAUCCGUAGUGUUCCAUUCUCAAGGCAUUUCACAAUUCCAAGUGUGCGCAUUACUGUGACCCGGGAGGUGGCAUCUCAAUGGUCGAUUGUCCAGGCCACGUGGUGGCUUCCCCGGGCCACGUGGUGGAUACACCGGGGGACGUGGGCCACGUGGUGGCUUCACCGGGCCACCUUGUUGCAUGGAAGCGUCAUGUGUCCUGUAUGGACCUGCAAGAUUUACUCACACGUGUUAACGUGCUAUGAAAAUUAUCACAAACUCAGUAAAUAUACGGUGCGGUGAUGAAAAUACUGUUAACAGAGGAGAAAGCAAAAGAUGGAGGACCAGCUCAGAAAUCAAAGCAGGCAUAGAUGCAGCGUUAUACAUGAACAUACACUUACAUAUGAACUGUUAUCUGAACAUAUAUUCAAAUAAAUAUGAACUAGCUAGGUACAUGAUUAUCUUAAAUCAUAAGAUCAAUGGAAACGAAAGCAGAUAGAGAAGGUGGGUUCUUCACCUUUAUGGGAUAAUUCUAGGGCAGUGCUCGUGGAAAAGGGAGAGAAGGCAACGGUAGCCAAGAGAAUGCAUAUGAUAAGAAAGGCCUUCAUCUUGGAAAUAUUACUUUGUGUUUAAAAUGGCUAUUGCCUCUUCUCUGCACUCUUAUUUAUAGCCACCACCACCGAAAAUAUCUAGGUGCUACAAUACUUAUUCUAGUAUAAUUUUUUAAAAAUAAAUAAUUAUAUGGAAAUUAAUUUGAUGUGACCUAAUUAAUUUGAUGAGAGUUAUCGCACGUGUGCAGUGUCGCAGCGAUCAUUUAAUUUCUUGGAUUUGGAUUGUCAAGAAUGAUAUGGGUGGAAAUGACAAUGAAUUCAUGUCAUUUAUCAGUAAAAGAACAAAAUAGGAGUCGUCAUCUGUUAUUUUGAUCACUGAGAACCAUAACUGAUUUCGGAGUCUGUAUAAAGAGACUGAUUGCAUAAAGAGAAGGUAUUAGCAUCCCUAGUAUGUUUUAUCUUAGCUUAGCUACAUUGUUUAUUCUGUUAUUUUGAUCACUGAGAACCAUAACUGGUUUCGGAGUCUGUAUAAAGAGACCGAUUGCAUAAAAAGAAGGUAUUAGCAUCCCUAGAAUGUCUUACCUUAGCUUAACUACAUUGUUUAUUCUGUUAUUUUAAUCACUGAGAACCAUAACUGGUUUCGGAGUCUGUAUAAAGAGACCGAUUGCAUAAAGAAAAGGUAUUAGCAUCCCUAAUAUGUCUUACUUGAGCUUAGCUACAUUGUUUAUUCUGUUAUUUUGAUCACUGAGAACCAUAACUGGUUUCGGAGUCUGUAUAAAGAGACCGAUUGCAUAAAGAGAAGGUAUUAGCAUUCCUAGUAUGUCUUACCUUAGCUUAGCUACAUUGUUUAUUUAUCUGAUAUAAAAUAAAGAAAUAUUAUGUUUUUUUAAUCGUUGGUGUGUCUAAGAUAUAAGAAAUAUUCUCCUUAAUAAAAAGGUCCUUAUAUUAUCAGAUUAAAACAAAAAUCGUUCUAAUGUCAACAUAAAAAUAUAAACUAUCUUUUUAUUUAAUAUCAGAAAUAUCUUUUAUUUAUGAGUUCAUAAUCUUGUAUAUUAAAAGAAACAAAAAAACUUUUUUUUUAUUUUAAUAUCAUAAAUAUAUCUUUCGUAUAAGUUUAUAAUCUCACUUGUUAAAAUAAACAAAAUAAAACUUUUUUAGUAUUUUUAAAAUAUAGACCAAAAUCUUUUGGAAUUUUACAAACUUGUUAUAAAAUUCAUACAAUAUUUUUUUAAAAAAAAAGCAUGUCAAAGUAUUUUAGAUUUUUUUUAAAAAAAAAAAGCUUAAAUAACUUUAGGAUUUUUAGCCAUGUGCAAGAAUAUAAAUAUUUUUUUAUUAUUUUCAUAGGCUUUAUUUGACAAAAACUCAAUUUUUUUUUAAUAAAACUACCAAAUAUAGCUUAAUGGGUGUUUGUCAAACACACCUUUAAACCCAAAAACCCUUUAACAAAAAUUAUGGCAAACCAAACAAGGUAUUAAAACCUGUAACCAAAUUUUUUUUACUUGACGCAAUCAAUUGUUGACUCGAUUAGGUGGACCCGAGAUUUUUGGUUCGACCAUAAAUCAAGCUAGAAAUCCUGGUUUGACCCAAAAACAAGACCAAAGCCAAAAAAAAAAAAAAACACCAAAAACCAAAACUCAAAAGAACUUGAGCAAAAUGGAUCAAACACCAAAAAAAAUAACAUCAAGAACACCGAACAAACCUAGCAACAUAAAAUCCAAAACAAACAAAAUUUGAUCAAAACAAAGGCACAUAUAUGUUGGAAAUCAUAUAAGGAUCGGUAAUCUUGCAUCCAUUUACUUUGAUUAUCACUUAAACAUCACAAUUGUGUCAAAAUAAGUUUCAGUUCUAAACCAAAACUUUAGGAUUGAAAAUCGUUAAAAUCAUGUUAUUGAUGCAAAUAAACACUGGAUUAUUAUUUAAUCAUACAUAAAAAAAAGGGUUAUAUACAAAGAAAUGGACCGAAAUCAGUCCAAACCUAUAGGCUAAGGCAACAUUCUUUCCAAGAACACGAAGAACAUUGCUUAAAAAACUUAGAAAAGUUCCUAGCCAAGACAACCUCUACCAAACCUAGAAAUGGGCAUUUUUUUGUUUCUAUAACAUGCUUUAUAUAUAUAUAUAUAUAUAUCUCAAGAAGUCACAAUAUCAUACACAAACAUGUUUGAACCAAAAAACUAACAAAAAAAAAAACAUCAAAAUCAAGCAUAAGGUAUCAAAUAAUAAAAAUUAUCAACUUAAAACAAUCUAUAUGUUCAUACAAGAUGGAUUCAAAAUUAAUUUUCUGAAUUCAUUUGGUGCAUGAACAGACCUAACAAACCUAGAAUAAACAUCAUUGUUUUAACAGACCUAACAAACCUAGAAUAAACAUCAUUGUUUUAACACGUAUAGUUUAAGUUAAACAAAAACUAAAACUGAAAAAACAAUGUAUAUGAAAAACAAACUUAAAUAACAACUUUAAUAUAUCAAGAAUAUAAAAAAAAUACUUCAAAAUAACUUAUUUAAAUAAAAUCACAUCAAUAAAGAGAUCAAUAAAGAGGUAAAUGGAAUAUUAUUUGUUAAAUAUUUUAAACUUUUUUUCUACUUUUAAAUAUAAAUAUAAAACAAAAUAAAUAAAUAAAUAAAACAAUAAAAGCAGCCCACCAAAAACCUACUUUUAGAUCAACAAUGUGUAGGAACAAUUACUUUCUCUUGGCUUUCCUUUGGAAAAUUUUGCUACUGGAGUUUGUUGCUGUCGUGACCGAGAGGAAGAGAAAACUCUGGUGCUGCUGCAACUAGGAGGACAACCACUACUUUUGUUGCUGAGGAACUGUUCACAGUGCAGAGGAGAGAAACAGCGCUGCUGUUGUCCAUGGCUGAAACAGAGGAGUGGAAGUGCAGUAACUACCGCUCAAGGUUGUUGCUGUUGUCUGUUGCUGGAAGGAGGGGCUUUCACUGUUGCUCAGGAUUGAAGAGAAGAUGUCGCCGGUUGCUAUUGCUAUGGUUGAGGAAUAAAAGGGAGGUUGUUUGUGGUUGUGAGGCUGAUGGUGGCCAGCUGGAGGGAGAUUACGGUGCUGCUGCUGGAAGGGUGGCUGGCCUUGAGUGCUGGACCGGGAAGGAGAAGUUGUUGGUGCAAGAGGGAUCACCUCUGCUGUUGCUGCUUCAAUGGAGGAAUGAAAGUUAGGAGAGAGUUGCUGCUCCUGAUGCUGCUUUCCCACGGUGCGGAGAAGAUGACGAUGGAUACUGCUAAGGAAGAUCUCUCAUUGUUGCUUAAAGUCAGAGGAGAUGAAGACUCUGCUCACGUUUGAAGCUUACAGAGCGGCUGAGGAGGUCUUGGUGGUGAUGUAUUUGGGAGAGAUUAUGUUAGUGUUUUUAAUGCAAUAAAAGUUGUGAUGCUGGCUUUAAGUUAAGUACAAAUAUCAGGGUAUAAUUUAGCAUAAAAUUUGUGUGGUAUGAUGAAGAGGUUAGAGAGUAAUUAGUUAGGGCUAAAAGAUGGCGUAUUUAAGCAUCUUUUUUCUUUUGUUUUAGGGGAAAAAAUCAAUGAAUAGUGAAAUUAUAAUUUUUCUCAAUCUGGUCCUUGAAUUUUUGGCACUUGUAAUGGAAUCCUCAAUCAGCCCUAAUAUUUUGGAUUCCUUGCAAUUUCACCAUUAUCCCUCUUUAAUUGGACCAUUAAAUUUCAAAGUUUUGUAUAAAGUAUUCCUUAGUUUUAGAUUUUUUUUAUUAUGGUCCUCAAUUAAACUCCAUACUUUAAAUUUAUUUCAAUUAAGCCUCUAAUUUAGACUUUCAAAGUUUGAAUUGUGUCCAUAAUCUUCUAAUCUUUGCGAAUUGAUCCGAAUUAGAUCUUUAAAAUUGUUUUUUUUCAAUUGAGUCCUUUAUUGAAUCCACAAUACUCAUUAGAAAUUUAAUUAAGUCAUUGAACUCAAUUAACUUUUCUGAUUUAUUUUUUCUAAUUGGCUUUCAAACUUAAUUUUUUUUCAAUUAAGUCCUUAAAUAAGUCAAUUAAACCUUUUAAAAAUUUAAUUAAGUCCUUAAACUUAAUUAAUUCUUCCAGUUUUUGUCAAGGUUGGAUUUCAACCUUUAUUAUCUUCAUUUCUUCAUCAAAUUCUAUCAAAACAUCUCAAUCUGACUAUUCUUCAAGUAUUUUGGUCUUUUUCAGCUCAAAAACUUAUCUCCUUGUGUCCCAAAAUUUUUUUUGGAUUUUAUGUUUUUUGGAUUUUUUUAAAAAAAAAAACUAUACACUUUUUAUAAAACAAAUUUGGGGGAGGGGGGGAUUGGGUUAUGAUAUAUAGCAAAGUUCUCAUAGAUUAAUAAAAUUGUUAUUAAAUCUAAAAAUACAUGUAAAAACAAAAAAAAAUCUUGAAUUUUGGUAGUAAAAAAUGCUAACUUAUGCCAUGUAUUUUUAUUAUUUUUAUGCAAAUUUGAUUUUUUUGUGAGACUUGGCCAUACAUAAUUUAAAAUAUUUAAAUAUGUUUUUAAAGAUAUAUUUUGGUUGUUUUUGUAUUUUAUUUUUACCAAAAAAAAAUGAUUUAUUUAAUACUAGAAAAGCGCUCACAUGUAGGUUAUAAUCUCAAAUAUUAAAUAAAAAGGAGCAAAACAAUGACAAACAUAAAAAUUAUUGCAAAUACAUUCCUUAAAGGCAUAAAAGUGAAUUAAUUAAAAAAAAACAAGGGCUAUGUUUGGCAAAACAAGAAAUAUUUGGUAAAGAAAACUAUCAUAACUUUGUUAGGGCGUGUUUGGCAAACACACCUUAAGAAUAAAAAAAAAUAUUUUUCUCUUAAUAAAAAGAUGUCAAGCCAAACAUUGCUCUAAGCCUGAAAUGGGAUCAGCCUAACCAUGUGGGUUAGGCUUUCUAGCCUGGCCUAGGUCCAAGAACAAGGUUCAAAGAUAGAAACUCAAAAACAAAGAUCAAGCGAGAAAUUUUGUUUGAAAGAGCCAAGAACAUGAAGAACACCUUCGAUGAACCUGAAAACAUGGAUGAAAUAAUAGACUAGAUUUCGUUAAACAAAAAGCAUGUAUAAUCAACGAUAAGCUUUAAUCUUCAUCAAAAUGACAUGGUAGUGAAAAAUGUUCGGGGUUCUAAGGAUCGAUUGAUCCAAAACAAGUUAUAAAAAAAAUAUAUAUAUGGUAUAUAACGAUCAGGCAUGAGUUAUAGCUUCGAGUGAAGCUUAUUAGAGAGGCUAAAAUGCCAAAACAUAAAAAAGCCUAAAUCUCGGUUCAAGAACAUGAACCCAGAAAUUCAAAAAAAACCUAAAAAGCCCCAGCAAAACCAUAAAAAUAGAAACUAACUAAAACCUCAAAAGAAAAGUCUGAACUUGUCAAACUUAUUUAAAGCAUGCUUAUGAUGACCUACUAGAACUUCCAAAACUAAAAGAAAACAUGUAAAAGAAACAAAAUAAGAAUUUGUCCACAUAAUCGAUAAGAACUAGUAAUUUUUUGAAAUCUUUAAACAUUGUUACAUUAGUUUUAACACCUUUUUUUUUCAUCAUUUUUAAACAUGCAUAGCAGCUUAACUAACUCGGCAUUGUAUAAAACACAAAUUAAAAGCACGGUCUUUGUAAAUCACAUUAAUACAUUAAAAAAACAAAUCCAAAUCAAAAUGAUUAACCUAAACUUCAAAACAUUAUAAUUGACGUUCAAACAUUCUAAUUACAUGUUUUUUUAACAAUAAAUUACAUACUCGAAACUAGCUUAAACUUACUUCUCUUAACAAAUGCAUAUCACAUCUAAAAAUAAAAACAUGUUAAACAUAACUUCUAAAAUAAAAUAAGAUCAACAUAAUCAAUAACAAAUAAAUGAAACAUUGAUAUGGAAGACAUUAAAGGAGAGGUGUGCCCAUUGGGAUACACUAUCUCACUAAUGUUUUAGGUGUGCCCAUUGAAUAAUGCACUUUUCUUUUCUAGGUUUUAUUGCGUAUUUCCCCUUGUUUUUAGCUUUUAAUCUUUAGCUUGUAUGAACCUACUCUUUUCUCCUUUCUUCCUUCAAAUCUUUAUGCGAUUUCUUAACUUUGUCUCUCUAUUUAAUCAAGAAUUCUUCUCUCUUUUCUCUCUACUUUUCUCCCUCUUUUCCCUUUGUGAUUUUAUUCUUCCUCCUUUAUCAUUUCCCUCUAAAAAAAGACCUCCAUUUUGGUUUAAUAGCACUUGCCCUUUUAUAAACAAACCAAAACUAGAAGUUGCAAAAUCAUGAUGGUUUUGCACAAGAUGCGUGGUUUAUAGAAGAUUGUUACUCAUUCUAUCAUCUAACCUCCCUAGAAAUGUGCAUUCUAAUUCAUUUUUUUUUUUUGAGCUCGAACCUAUCAGGAUAAGGCAGCCAUGAAGUCUACUCAAACAUGGGGUUUUCUUAUUUAGUCAUGGUUGAUUGAGUGGGCUACUUUGAUGAGAUCAUCGUGAAAAAUAGGAUAUAAACAUGUCAUAGGCAAACAUGAAUCGUGUAGAUAGAGAUAACCUACCUUUAGAAACAAACUUCAUCUUGUUUGGAGGUCUAGAACUCCUCAUUCAAUUGUUGGAAGAUCGGUCCUUAAUUAGCUUGCAGUUGUCAACGCAGGGGAGGUUGACUAGGAACAAGAUAUUGUCAACAUCAUUAAAUAAAAUAGGAUGUAAAUGUAAAUGUAUUGGUGUACAAACCUUAGAAAGGGCUGAUAUGGCUGGCCAUUCUUAGCAGAACCUCAGGAACUAGUCGCCUUCUCGGAGGUGCCGUGGCAUCCUUGGCUAGAGCUUCCUCAUCACCAGCAUGUAUCACAGCGACCAGAUGGCUGAACAUUUCAUCCUUACCACCUCUU
rnacentral:lncRNA from 1 species